ACCUGGCUGCAGUUUCCCUGGUAACCAGCCUCAUCCUUAGCUUUAACUUCUGGCCACAGGAAGAUGUGUAGAGUGGGGAGGGGUGUUGUCCGCCCCCCACUGGGCCCCCUGCCGCACUCAGCAACCCAGUGUGGAGACACAGCAGAGAGUAGUAACACACAUGGCUCUAAAGUUCAAGAUUCUAUUUAAACCAGGACAGGUGAAGCUCAGAGAUGCUUCUCAACAUCAUCUGUGCAUCAGAUCUUUCCUGGAGCAGUUUAGAAUGACUCAACACCUAAAAAACAGACAAUCCAAUAAAUAUGGGCAGAAGUCAUGAACACACAUUUCUGCAAAGAAGACAUACUGACGGUUAAUGGGCAUAUGAAUAGAUAAUAGGUACCGAUCAUCAUAGGGAAAUGCAAAUCAAAACCACAAUGAGCUAUCACCUCACACCUGUCAGAAUGGCUAAAUUCAAACACACAAGAGACAACAGGUGUCAGCGAGUAUCUGGAGAAAGGACCCCUCCUGCACUGUUGCUGGGAAUGCAAACUGGUGCGUCUACUGUGGAAAAGUAUGGAGGUUCCUGAAAAAGUUAAAAAUAGAACUACCCUAAGAUCCAGCUAUCGCCUACUGGGCAUUUACCCCCCAAAAUAUAAAAGCAUUGAGGCGCCUGGGUGGCUCAGUUGGUUAGGUGUCCAACUUCGGCUCAGGUCAUGAUCUCGCAGUUUGUGAGUUCGAGCCCAGUGUGGGGCUCUGUGCUGACAGCUCAGAACCUGGAGCCUGCUUCGGAUUCUGUCUCCCUCUCUGCCCCUCCCCUGUUCAUGCUCUCUCUCUUUCCCUCCCACUUCCCUCCCUCUCUCUCAAAAAUAAACAUUUAAAAAUUGUUAGCAGCACCUGGGUGGCUCAGUCGGUUAACUGUCCAACUCUUGGUUUUGGCUCAGGUCAUGAACUUGCAGUUUGUUAGUUCAAGCCCCACAUCAGGCUCUGUGCUGACAGUGUGGAGCCUGCUUGGGAUUCUCUCUCUGCCCCUAAACCGCUCGCUAUCUCUCUCUCAGAAUAAAUAAAUAACCUUAAAAAUAAAAAUAAAAAAUUAAUGCAAAACACUACUUCAAAUGGGAUGCAUUAACUCCUAUGUUUUAGCAGCAUCAUUUGUUAUAACCAAAUUACAGAGGCAACCCAAAUGUCCAUCGAAGGAUGAAUGGGUAAACAAGAUGUAUAUAUAUAUAUAUACAAUGGAAUAUUAUUCAGCUAUAAAGAGAAUGAACUCUUUCCAUUUGCAACGACAUGCAAGGAGCUGGAGAGUAUUAGAAAUAAGUCAGUCAGAAAAAGACAAAUAGCAUAUGAUUUCACUCAUAAGCAGAAUUUAACAAACAACCACAAAGAAUGAGCAAAGGAAAAAAGAGACAAACCAGGAAACAUACUCUUAACUAUAGAAAGCAAAGGGAUGAAGGGGAUCCUGAGUGGCUCAGUCGGUUAAGCAUCGGACUUUGUCUCAGGUCAUGAUCUCAAGGUUCAGGAGUUCAAGCCCCACGUGGUGCUGUGUGCUGACAGCAUGGAGCCUGCUUCAAGAUCCUCUGUCCCUCUCUCUCUCUC